rnacentral:rRNA from 1 species
GGACUACCGGGGUUUCUAAUCCUGUUUGCUCCCCACGCUGUCGCGCCUGAGCGUCGGUAACGGGCCAGUGAGCCGCCUUCGCCACUGGUGUUCUUCCGAAUAUCUACGAAUUUCACCUCUACACUCGGAAUUCCACUCACCUCUCCCGUACCCAAGUCCUCUAGUUUCGAAGGCAGUUCCAGAGUUGAGCUCUGGGCUUUCACCCCCGACUUAAAGGACCGCCUGCGCGCGCUUUACGCCCAGUAAUUCCGAACAACGCUAGCCCCCUUCGUAUUACCGCGGCUGCUGGCAC